rnacentral:rRNA from 1 species
CCUACGGGUGGCUGCAGUGGGGAAUAUUGGACAAUGGGGGGAACCCUGAUCCAGCCAUGCCGCGUGUGUGAAGAAGGCCCUCGGGUUGUAAAGCACUUUCAGUGAGGAAGAACGCCUGGUGGUUAAUACCCAUCAGGAAAGACAUCACUCACAGAAGAAGCACCGGCUAACUCCGUGCCAGCAGCCGCGGUAAUACGGAGGAUGCGAGCGUUAAUCGGAAUUACUGGGCGUAAAGCGCGCGUAGGUGGCUUGAUAAGCCGGUUGUGAAAGCCCCGGGCUCAACCUGGGAACGGCAUCCGGAACUGUCAAGCUAGAGUGCAGGAGAGGAAGGUAGAAUUCCCGGUGUAGCGGUGAAAUGCGUAGAGAUCGGGAGGAAUACCAGUGGCGAAGGCGGCCUUCUGGACUGACACUGACACUGAGGUGCGAAAGCGUGGGUAGCAAACAGGAUUAGAUACCCCAGUAGUC